rnacentral:rRNA from 1 species
AACGAACGCUGGCGGCAUGCCUAACACAUGCCAGUCGAACGAGACCUUCGGGUCUAGUGGCGCACGGGUGCGUAACGCGUGGGAACCUGCCCUUAGGUUCGGAAUAACUCCCCGAAAGGGGUGCUAAUACCGGAUAAUGUCUUCGGACCAAAGAUUUAUCGCCUUUGGAUGGGCCCGCGUUGGAUUAGCUAGUUGGUAGGGUAAAAGCCUACCAAGGCGACGAUCCAUAGCUGGUCUGAGAGGAUGAUCAGCCACACUGGGACUGAGACACGGCCCAGACUCCUACGGGAGGCAGCAGUGGGGAAUAUUGGACAAUGGGCGAAAGGCUGAUCCAGCAAUGCCGCGUGAGUGAUGAAGGCCGUAGGGUUGUAAAGCUCUUUUACCCGGGAUGAUAAUGACAGUACCGGGAGAAUAAGCUCCGGCUAACUCCGUG